CCAAGGAGUUUAGCGUGUGCGCGAGUCAUUGGGUGUCAAAACCUAAAGGCGUAAUGAAAGUGAAGGGAACUUUGUUUCCGAGGGAGGAUGGGUUAGGUCCCUUUACAGGGCCGGCCUCGCACUCCCGGGGCGUCUCUAUCUCAUUGCGAGAGGAGGCGCACCUAGAGCGUACACGCUGAUACCCGAAAGAUGGUGAACUAUGCCUGGCCAGGACGAAGCCAGGGGAAACCCUGGUGGAGGUCCGCAGCGAUUCUGACGUGCAAAUCGAUCGUCGGAGCUGGGUUUAGGGGCGAAAGACCAAUCGAACCAUCUAGUAGCUGGUUCCCUCUGAAGUUUCCCUCAGGAUAGCUUGCGCUCGGAUGAAACGAGUCUCAUCCGGUAGAGCGAAUGAUUAGAGGCCUUGGGGUCGAAACGACCUCAACCUAUUCUCAAACUCCAAAUAGAUGAGAACCCCGGCUUUCUUGAACAUUGUUUAUGAAGCCGGGGGCUCGGAUCAGAGUGCCAAGUGGGCCAAUUUU
rnacentral:rRNA from 1 species